rnacentral:rRNA from 1 species
UACAGAGGGUGCGAGCGUUGUCCGGAAUCACUGGGCGUAAAGGGCGCGUAGGUGGCGGGAUAAGCGUGUGGUGAAAGCCCGGGGCUCAACCCCGUGUCUGCCAUGCGGACUGUCUUGCUCGAGCGUAGUAGAGGCAGGUGGAAUUCCGGGUGUAGCGGUGGAAUGCGUAGAGAUCCGGAAGAACAUCGGUGGCGAAGGCGGCCUGCUGGGCUACUGCUGACACUGAGGCGCGACAGCGUGGGGAGCAAAC